rnacentral:rRNA from 1 species
UACGUAGGGUGCAAGCGUUGUCCGGAAUUAUUGGGCGUAAAGAGCUCGUAGGCGGUCUGUCACGUCGGCUGUGAAAACCCGAGGCUCAACCUCGGGCCUGCAGUCGAUACGGGCAAACUAGAGUACUAGGGGAGACUGGAAUUCCUGGUGUAGCGGUGAAAUGCGCAGAUAUCAGGAGGAACACCGGUGGCGAAGGCGGGUCUCUGGGCAGUAACUGACGCUGAGGAGCGAAAGCGUGGGGAGCGAACAGG